GUUUACGAGAUGGUGAUGGGCAUAUAGUUCACCUCUCUGGAUCUAAAAGGGUUAAAGCAAGUCUGGAAUCAUUCACCGAUAUGUGAAAAACACAGCAAGCAAUGGACUGAUUUAGACUCACAGUCAUAAAUUCCAGACAUGGAAAAAGGAGCAAUGGGGACUUUCCACGGCGCAGUAUUCAGUUCAUAUGUUGACCAUCAUGCACAGGCUGCAAGUAGG